CCUUGCACAGGAGUGAAUUCUACCCUGAAAGAAGAGAUGCGGCUCGAUUCAUCGCAGCAUCUAUGCCAGCAGCUGCCAAUGUGGAAACACCUGGUGGUGGGAAGAGACUUGAACUCACCUGGCUGGAGGGCACAGCAUGAGAAGAGAUGUCCACUAUCCCA